rnacentral:tRNA from 1 species
GCCGGCGUAGACCAACCCGGUAAGUCGCUAGAUUCAGACUCUAGUGCCCGAAAGGUCACAAAAACAUAUAAAUCUGAUGUUUUUGGGACUCCUGAAAACAUUGGUUUUCAUGAGGUUUAAGGGUUCAAAUCCCUGCGCCGGCG